GAUGAACGCUGGCGGCGUGCCUAAUACAUGCAAGUCGAGCGAACAGACGAGGAGCUUGCUCCUCUGACGUUAGCGGCGGACGGGUGAGUAACACGUGGAUAACCUACCUAUAAGACUGGGAUAACUUCGGGAAACCGGAGCUAAUACCGGAUAAUAUAUUGAACCGCAUGGUUCAAUAGUGAAAGACGGUUUUGCUGUCACUUAUAGAUUGAUCCGCGCCGCAUUAGCUAGUUGGUAAGGUAACGGCUUACCAAGGCAACGAUGCGUAGCCGACCUGAGAGGGUGAUCGGCCACACUGGAACUGAGACACGGUCCAGACUCCUACGCGAGGCAGCAGUAGGGAAUCUUCCGCAAUGGGCGAAAGCCUGACGGAGCAACGCCGCGUGAGUGAUGAAGGUCUUCGGAUCGUAAAACUCUGUUAUUAGGGAAGAACAAAUGUGUAAGUAACUAUGCACGUCUUGACGGUACCUAAUCAGAAAGCCACGGCUAACUACGUG
rnacentral:rRNA from 1 species